UGAAGAGAAGAACAAGAGUGUUGAAUGGAAAGCUUGAGGAAUCAAUUUGGGUGACCUAGGAGCUGAAUUGAAGCAAGGGUUAGGAAUAAUCAUCUUCAAAGGUAUGGGGGUUAGUUAUUAUCAUAAUCAUGUACAAUCUUUGCAUUUUCUCAUGUUGUAUGAAAAUGGGUUGAUGAACAAUUGUUGUUAAAUUCGUGCUCUUGCUGUGAUGCUAUUUUCUUGUGCAUGAAUUGAUGAUUAUGGUAUGUUUAUGGGUGAAAUUANN
rnacentral:lncRNA from 1 species